ACCAGCAGCUAUAUCAACCUACACCUCACAACUGGCAGCCCACUGAAGCUCAGCAGGUGUGAGCUGGGUCAGUACCUGGAUGAGAGACCUCCUGGGAAAAACUAAGGUUGCUGCUGGAA
rnacentral:rRNA from 1 species